rnacentral:rRNA from 1 species
UCGAGAGGCUUCCACAAUGGGGGAAACCCUGAUGGAGCGACGCCGCGUGGGUGAUGAAGGUCUUCGGAUCGUAAAACCCUUUCAGCAGAGAAGAAGUGAUUAAGUAUUAAUACCAUUUAGUCAAAGACGGUAUCUGCAGAAGAAGCUCCGGCUAACUCCGUGCCAGCAGCCGCGGUAAUACGGGGGGAGCAAGCGUUGUUCGGAUUUACUGGGCGUAAAGGGCGUCUAGGCGGAAUAAUAAGUCAGCUGUGAAAUCCCCCGGCUCAACCGGGGAGUUGCAUUUGAUACUGUUAUUCUUGAGUACAAGAGAGGAAAGCGGAAUUCCAGGUGUAGCGGUGAAAUGCGUAGAUAUCUGGAAGAACACCAGUGGCGAAGGCGGCUUUCUGGCUUGUUACUGACGCUGAAGCGCGAAAGUGUGGGGAGCAAACAG